rnacentral:rRNA from 1 species
AACGAACGCUGGCGGCAUGCCUAACACAUGCAAGUCGAGCGCCCGUAGCAAUACGGGAGCGGCGCACGGGUGAGUAACGCGUGGGAACCUGCCCAGAGGUCUGGGACAACCGCGGGAAACUGCGGCUGAUACCGGAUGAUUCCUGAGGGACAAAGAUUUGUCGCCUUUGGAGGGGCCCGCGUCGGAUUAGGUAGUUGGUGGGGUAACGGCUCACCAAGCCUAUGAUCCGUAACUGGUCUGAGAGGAUGACCAGUCACACUGGGACUGAGACACGGCCCAGACUCCUACGGGAGGCAGCAGUGGGGAGUAUUGGACAAUGGGGGGCAACCCUGGUCCAGCAAUGCCGCGUGGGUGAUGAAGGCCUCGGUUGUAAGCCUUCCGCGGGACGAUGAUGACGGUACCCGCAGAAGAAGCCCGGCUAACUUCGUGCCAGCAGCCGCGGUAAU